AGGAGAAGCCACUCUUCCUGCUGAAUUUUUUUUGAGGGAUAAAUUCGAUCAUAUAUCGGUCAUCCAUUCUUUUAUGUUCUUCCGACCUUGUUGAUAAUGAGCCCCUGAUGAAGUCCAGUUGGACGAAACGCGUUGGGUUUUGGUUCGGAUAUGAGAGCAUUGGAUAUGUAUUAAUUAAGAGAGCAACUUCGGAUUAACAAACUGUCUGCAUUAUAUUGUUUUAUAUCUGAUGUCUGUAUUUUAAAUAUGUCAGCCAUUUGUUAUUCAAUGUGAUUCACUGUCUAACACUUUUAUACAAAUAAAUUGGAGUUUUUUAAGUGAA